AAAGCGUGCGCAGGCGGUUUUGUAAGUUUGUCGUGAAAUCCCCGGGCUCAACCUGGGAAUGGCGAUGAAGACUGCAAGGCUAGAGUUUGGCAGAGGGGGGUAGAAUUCCACGUGUAGCAGUGAAAUGCGUAGAUAUGUGGAGGAACACCGAUGGCGAAGGCAGCCCCCUGGGUCAAAACUGACGCUCAUGCACGAAAGCGUGGGGAGCAAACAGGAUUAGAUACCCCAGU
rnacentral:rRNA from 1 species